rnacentral:rRNA from 1 species
CCCUUAGAUGUUCUGGGCCGCACGCGCGCUACACUGAUGAAUUCAACGAGCACUAACCUGUGCAGAAAUGUUCGGGUAAUCUUGUGAAAUUUCAUCGUGAUGGGGAUUGAUUAUUGCAAUUAUUAAUCAUAAACGAGGAAUGCCUAGUAAGCGUGAGUCAUCAGCUCACGUUGAUUACGUCCCUGCCCUUUGUACACACCGCCCGUCGCUCCUACCGAUUGAAUGUGCUGGUGAAAAGUUCGGAUUGGGAAUAGGAGACGGCAACGUAUCCUGUUUCUGAGAAAAUCUUUAAACCCUCCCAUUUAGAGGAAGGAGAAGUCGUAACA